CAACUUUAUACAAUCUCAAAAUACUCACAACCACGAACUUAAUUAAUUCAUAUCAUAGUCAUUGUCUCUAUUACAAAUCGUCCAACCAAAACAGAAUAAAUAAACAAGUAGGAUUAUAUAACAAAAUUUGAAUCUCUUUACAUGAAACAGAGAUGUAAAUAGUUUGUAACCACUAAAUACACAGUCGUUCAGCCAAUAUAACACCCAAACAAUCAUCUCCUAAUCACAAAGGCAAAAGCUAAAAUCAAAUUUCAUAUUUUAGUACAUUCAAAAUCAACUAACUUAUUGCUCAAAGUUAAGAAACGGAGCUAACAGUUUAUUUCAGAAACUAAAAAAAAUGCACAUUCUUAGUUUUAAAUAACAAUGACAGUAAAUCACAUGCACAAAAGUUUGAAACUGACCUCAAAUGUGGCAGAAAAAACAGAGUCGCAGCAGCAAGUGUUUUGAGUUUAAGUAAUGCACCACUUAAAAUGCCUGUAUUUUUGGACUGCAUGUGAGUGAAGAUAUAGAAAAUAAGAACAAA
rnacentral:lncRNA from 1 species